CUUGACAUCAUCUCACUGACCCAUGCAGCCAUGCCUAAACUUGGACCAGAACUCAUGUAACCACCGGGUAAUGUCAAACCUGAACUCUGAACUCUCAGGUUAGUUAAACUCAUCUCUUGUUGUUUCCUUAAUUCUAAAUCAUCACUAAACCUGUAUUAAAGUGUCCCAAAUUUUUUAGAUAGAGAUGUAUAGAUGCACAUUUAACCCACCUGAGGAAGAACUUAUUAACUAUUACUGGAAUAACAAGAUCACCAGAGAAUGAUGAUCCAAAUAAAGGCAACGAAUUUGAAGUUCUACUACAUUUUCUUCCAUUUUCUCCAUUAUUUUGCAAAUACAUAAACACAUAAAACGAAUUUAUUUCCAUUUUUCCCAGAAAUAUAUAAGAACAAGCUAAAACACAGGGAUACAUGAAUCCUCUCAGAAAUCAGAGCAUCGACCACGUUGUUCCCAAUCGCCGUACCGAGUCGGUUCAGGACCUCUAGGCCCUCCAAUCUCACCAGUAUCUUCGUUCACAAACUCUCCACCUCCACCACCUUCUCCUUCCUCUUCUUCUUCCUUCUGCAUCUGCAGAUUCUGUUGAAGAUUCUGAUCUGGCUUCACGUCCCGGUUCAGAUCCUGAUUCGGAGAUGGAGCUUGCGGCGGAGGAGGUGUACCGGAGCUUAGAAACCGUGACACUGGCUCGAGGAAUCUAGAGGAGACGGAUCGGCUUGGAGCGAUCAAACGUACGAUGUUGUUCGUCGCCAUUGUUAGAUCAGAUGUGUCGGCCAAAUCAAGAAAGAGAUCCGACCUUCACGGUUUGUGAUAGUAUAGGGUUCGAUAGUCAUUUAGGUUGGGCCAUAAUUGGAUAAUAAGCCCAGUAGUAUCUAGGCCCAAUCAUUUACAUGUUUAUAAAUAAAUUAAGAGAAUUAGAGAGUAAAUUUG